AUUAGUUUUUUAAUUGAGGGCUAGAAUGAAUGGUCGGACAAGAGAUAAUCUGUCUUAAUUAAAUAUAUUGAAUUUAACUUUUAAGUGAAAAGGCUUAAAUGAUCUGAAGGGACGAUAAGACCCUAUAAAACUUUAUAUUUAUAAGUGGUAAUUAAUUUUAUUUAGGAAUAUUAUUUUAAAAUAUUUGGUUGGGGUGACAAGGAUAAAAGUAAAAAUAACUGUCCUUUUUUUUUUCAGUAAUAUCUGGUUUGAUGAUCCUAAAAUGGAUUAUAAGAUUAAGUUACUUUAGGGAUAACAGCGUAAUUUUCUUUAAGAGUUCUUAUCGACAAGAAAGUUUGCGACCUCGAUGUUGAAUUAAAAGUUCUUUAUAGGGUAGAGUCUAUAUAAGAAGGUCUGUUCGACCUUUAAAAUUUUACAUGAUUUGAGUUCAGACCGGU
rnacentral:rRNA from 1 species